UACGAAGGGGGCUAGCGUUGUUCGGAAUUAGUACGUGGGCGUAAAGGCGUGUCGCAGGCGGUUCGUUGAUUGUCGGCGGUGAAAGCCCCGGGCUCGACCUGGGAAUGGCCGUUGAAACUGGCGAACUGGAGUGUGGCAGAGGGGGUGGAAUUCCGCGUGUAGCAGUGAAAUGCGUAGAGAUGCGAGGAACACCGAUGCGAAGGCAGCCCCUGGCUGAACACUGACGCUCAGGCACGAAAGCGUAGGGGAGCGAAACAGG
rnacentral:rRNA from 1 species